rnacentral:tRNA from 4 species
UGGGGGAUCGUCUAGCGGCAGGACCUGGGACUCUGACUCCCAUUACGGAGGUUCGAAUCCUUCUCCCCCAGCCA